rnacentral:rRNA from 1 species
UAUACAUGCAGUCGAACGCUUCUUUUUCCACCGGAGCUUGCUCCACCGGAAAAAGAGGAGUGGCGAACGGGUGAGUAACACGUGGGUAACCUGCCCAUCAGAAGGGGAUAACACUUGGAAACAGGUGCUAAUACCGUAUAACAAUCAAAACCGCAUGGUUUUGAUUUGAAAGGCGCUUUCGGGUGUCGCUGAUGGAUGGACCCGCGGUGCAUUAGCUAGUUGGUGAGGUAACGGCUCACCAAGGCCACGAUGCAUAGCCGACCUGAGAGGGUGAUCGGCCACAUUGGGACUGAGACACGGCCCAAACUCCUACGGGAGGCAGCAGUAGGGAAUCUUCGGCAAUGGACGAAAGUCUGACCGAGCAACGCCGCGUGAGUGAAGAAGGUUUUCGGAUCGUAAAACUCUGUUGUUAGAGAAGAACAAGGAUGAGAGUAACUGUUCAUCCCUUGACGGUAUCUAACCAGAAAGCCACGGCUAACUACGUGCCAGCAGCCGCGGUAAUACGUAGGUGGCAAGCGUUGUCCGGAUUUAUUGGGCGUAAAGCGAGCGCAGGCGGUUUCUUAAGUCUGAUGUGAAAGCCCCCGGCUCAACCGGGGAGGGUCAUUGGAAACUGGGAGACUUGAGUGCAGAAGAGGAGAGUGGAAUUCCAUGUGUAGCGGUGAAAUGCGUAGAUAUAUGGAGGAACACCAGUGGCGAAGGCGGCUCUCUGGUCUGUAACUGACGCUGAGGCUCGAAAGCGUGGGGAGCAAACAGGAUUAGAUACCCUGGUAGUCCACGCCGUAAACGAUGAGUGCUAAGUGUUGGAGGGUUUCCGCCCUUCAGUGCUGCAGCUAACGCAUUAAGCACUCCGCCUGGGGAGUACGACCGCAAGGUUGAAACUCAAAGGAAUUGACGGGGGCCCGCACAAGCGGUGGAGCAUGUGGUUUAAUUCGAAGCAACGCGAGAAACCUUACCAGGUCUUGACAUCCUUUGACCACUCUAGAGAUAGAGCUUCCCCUUCGGGGGCAAGUGACAGGUGGUGCAUGGUUGUCGUCAGCUCGUGUCGUGAGAUGUUGGGUUAAGUCCCGCAACGAGCGCAACCCUUAUUGGUAGUUGCCAUCAUUCAGUUGGGC